AAAUUGAAGAGUUUGAUCAUGGCUCAGAUUGAACGCUGGCGGCAGGCCUAACACAUGCAAGUCGAACGGUAGCACAGAGGAGCUUGCUCCUUGGGUGACGAGUGGCGGACGGGUGAGUAAUGUCUGGGAAACUGCCCGAUGGAGGGGGAUAACUACUGGAAACGGUAGCUAAUACCGCAUAACGUCGCAAGACCAAAGAGGGGGACCUUCGGGCCUCUUGCCAUCGGAUGUGCCCAGAUGGGAUUAGCUAGUAGGUGGGGUAA
rnacentral:rRNA from 2 species